rnacentral:rRNA from 1 species
CUUGUGGCGAAGUGGGUGAUCCUAUGCUGCCGAGAAAAGCCUCUAGUGAGUGUCGUGGCGGCCCGUACCCCAAACCGACUCAGGUGGUCAUGUAGAGAAUACCAAGGCGAUCGGGUGAACUGUGGUUAAGGAACUCGGCAAAUUGCCCCCGUAACUUCGGGAGAAGGGGGGCCUCCGCUGGUGAUCAGACUUGCUUUAUGAGCUGGUGGGGGUCGCAGAGGCCAGGGGGAAGCGACUGUUUACUAAAAACACAGGUCCGUGCGAAGUCGUAAGACGAUGUAUACGGACUGACGCCUGCCCGGUGCUGGAACGUUAAGGGGACCGGUUAGCGCAUCUUCGGGUGUGCGAGGCUGAGAACUUAAGCGCCAGUAAACGGCGGUGGUAACUAUAACCAUCCUAAGGUAGCGAAAUUCCUUGUCGGGUAAGUUCCGACCUGCACGAAUGGCGUAACGACUUCCCCGCUGUCUCAACCGCAGACCCGGCGAAAUUGCACUACGAGUAAAGAUGCUCGUUACGCGCAGCAGGACGGAAAGACCCCGGGACCUUCACUACAGCUUGACAUUGGCGUUUGGAACGUCUUGUGUAGGAUAGGUGGGAGACUGUGAAGCUGUCACGCUAGUGGUGGUGGAGUCAUUGGUGAAAUACCACUCUGGUCGUUUUGAACGUCUAACUUCGGUCCGUGAUCCGGAUCAGGGACAGUGUCUGGUGGGUAGUUUAACUGGGGCGGUUGCCUCCUAAAGAGUAACGGAGGCGCCCAAAGGUUCCCUCAGCCUGGUUGGUAAUCAGGUGUCGAGUGUAAGUGCACAAGGGAGCUUGACUGUGAGACCGACGGGUCGAGCAGGAGCGAAAGCUGGGACUAGUGAUCCGGCGGUGGCAUGUGGAAGCGCCGUCGCUCAACGGCUAAAAGGUACCCCGGGGAUAACAGGCUGAUCUUCCCCAAGAGUCCAUAUCGACGGGAUGGUUUGGCACCUCGAUGUCGGCUCGUCGCAUCCUGGGGCUGGAGUAGGUCCCAAGGGUUGGGCUGUUCGCCCAUUAAAGCGGUACGCGAGCUGGGUUUAGAACGUCGCGAGACAGUUCGGUCCCUAUCCGCUGCGCGCGCAGGAGACUUGAAAGGAGCUGUCCCUAGUACGAGAGGACCGGGACGGACGAACCUCUGGUGUGCCAGUUGUUCCGCCAGGAGCAUGGCUGGUUGGCUACGUUCGGAAGGGAUAACCGCUGAAAGCAUCUAAGCGGGAAGCUCGCCUUGAGAUGAGGUCUCCCACCACGAGAGUGGGUAAGGCCCCCGGGAGACGACCGGGUUGAUAGGCCGGAGGUGGAAGCAUGGUAACGUGUGGAGCUGACCGGUACUAAUAGGCCGAGGACUUGACCAA